rnacentral:rRNA from 1 species
CAGGAUGAUCAGGCUCGGCCGAUCCUCCCACCCUUUGUGUACCUACCUCUGUUGCUUUGGCGGGCCGCGGUCCCCCGCGGCCGCCCCCCCUCCCCGGGGGGUGGCUAGUGCCCGCCAGAGGACCAUCAAACUCCAGUCAGUGAACGUCGCAGUCUGAAAAAACAUUCAAUAAACUAAAACUUUCAACAACGGAUCUCUUGGUUCUGGCAUCGAUGAAGAACGCAGCGAAAUGCGAUAAGUAAUGUGAAUUGCAGAAUUCAGUGAAUCAUCGAAUCUUUGAACGCACAUUGCGCCCCUUGGUAUUCCGAGGGGCAUGCCUGUUCGAGCGUCAUUACAACCCUCAAGCUCUGCUUGGUAUUGGGCACCGCCCUUCUUCGGGCGCGCCUCAAAGACCUCGGCGGUGGCUGUCUUGCCUCAAGCGUAGUAGAAUACACCUCGCUUCGGAGCGCAGAGCGUCGCCCGCCGGACGAACCUUCUGAACUUUUCUCAAGGUUGACCUCGGAUCAGAUAGGGAUACCCGCUGAACUUAAGCAUAUCAAUAAGCCGGAAAAAA